CCUACGGGGGGCAGCAGUGAGGAAUAUUGGUCAAUGGGCGAGAGCCUGAACCAGCCAAGUCGCGUGAGGGAGUACUGCCCUAUGGGUUGUAAACCUCUUUUGUCGGGGAGCAAAAGCCGGACGUGUCCGGCUGUGAGAGUACCCGAAGAAAAAGCAUCGGCUAACUCCGUGCCAGCAGCCGCGGUAAUACGGAGGAUGCGAGCGUUAUCCGGAUUUAUUGGGGUUAAAGGGUGCGCAGGCGGAUUUUUAAGUAAGCGGUCAAAUCGUGGGGCUCAACCCCAUCCAGCCGUUGAAACUGGGGAUCUAGAGUGUUCGAGAGGUAUGCGGAAUGCGUGGUGUAGCGGUGAAAUGCAUAGAUAUCACGCAGAACCCCGAUUGCGAAGGCAGCAUACCGGUGCACAACUGACGCUCAGGCACGAAAGCGUGGGUAUCGAACAGGAUUAGAUACCCCUGUAGUC
rnacentral:rRNA from 1 species